ACUUGGAAUUUUACAUAUGGAAAUACUAUAAAAGGUUAAGGGCAAAGGUGGAAUUUCAACUUGGAAAUAUUAGGAAAGGUGAGGGGCAAAAUGGAAAUUUCACAUGGGAGCCUUAGUCAUAAAAUCCUAGAAUUCUCUACACAAUUUGAGAAAGAAGAAGAGCAAAGGAAAGAAGAGAAAUCAAGAGAGAAAAUCGGACAAGAAGAUCAAAAAAUUACCCCUUCAAAUUUCAUCCCAAAAAUUAUAAUUUUCUAGUAUUCCUACUAAGUCAAGGGUGCUCUACAACAUGGUGUAGUUUUUUUGGAAGAUAGGAGGCUUGUUUGGUUGAUUUGAAGCUUUGGUAAAGUGAAGAAGUUGGAAGGAAAAGAUUUUGGAGAAAAUGGAAAUUGAACUUGGACAACCGUAAAAGGCCAAAAAGGUACCGAAGUUCGAUUUGCUGAUCCACCUGUUUAGGAUAUUUGCUGCGUCGUUGACAGUGCUCCCUUGUUCGGAGCUUGUAUUUUGGUACUGACUUUAUCUCUGUAUAUUUGGAUAUGUUGGUCAGGGGUACGACGGGGCCUUGUUUCGUCAUAUGA